rnacentral:lncRNA from 1 species
AUGUGUGGGAAGUUUAUUUUGCUUGGAGACCUGAGACAGCUGUAUGUCGCUGUUAGCCUGCUGAGGGCUCAGGAUCACACACACACACACACACACACACACGAACACACACGCUCCAGCCCUCAUGCAUCACUUGCAGGCGUACAUUUAUGCGUGCUCACAGACACAUGCACACUGCUGAACUUCAUCUUAUCGUUAUCCUUUACCCUUAACCGUUCUCUCUUUUUCUUUCUCUCCCUCCCCCCAUGUCUCUAUGAUGACGCCUCCCUGUGGUCCGGCCUUCCUUCUUCCUUCAUGUCAGGGCCUCCGGGAAAGCGUGGAAGGAUGGGAAGAAGAGGGGAACCUGGACCUCACCAGGGCAAGGCUGGACGGGAUGGAUACCCGGGUCCACUUGGCUUGGACGGAAAACCAGUGAGUAUGCCCACAUUUGAGUAACGAGCUUAAAGUGACUGACUUGAAUUUGAUUUUAAUUCUGUUUGUUUCU